rnacentral:rRNA from 1 species
UUAGCGGCAUGGCUAAAACAUGCAAGUCGAGCGCGAAAGUCCCUUCGGGGGCGAGUAGAGCGGCGAAAGGGCGAGUAACGCGUUUCUACGUACCCCGAGGUCGGGGAUAGCCCGGGGAAACCCGGAUUAAUACCCGAUGUGGUCCUUCGGGAUCAAAGGCUUGCCGCCUCGGGAGCGGGGAACGUCCUAUCAGGUUGUUGGUGAGGUAACGGCUCACCAAGCCUAAGACGGGUAGCGGGUGUGAGAGCAUGACCCGCCGCAUCGGAACUGAGACACUGUCCGGACUCCUACGGGAGGCUGCAGUAACGAAUCUUCCGCAAUGCGCGAAAGCGUGACGGAGCAAUGCCGCGUGCAGGAUGAAGCUCCUCGGAGUGUAAACUGCUGUCAGAGUUCAGCAACACAAUGAGCAGACUCAAAGGAAGGACCGGCUAAGUUCGUGCCAGCAGCCGCGGUAAUACGAACGGUCCGAGCGUUGCGCGGAAUCACUGGGCUUAAAGCGUACGUAGGCGGACGCGCAGGCGUUUUGUGAAAGCCCUCGGCUCAACCGAGGAAUUGCUUGACGAACCGCGCGUCUUGAGGCAGGUAGGGGCUGUCGGAACGAUAGGUGGAGUGGUGAAAUGCGUUGAUAUCUAUCGGAACGCCGAAGGAGAAAUCAGGCAGCUGGGCCUGUCCUGACGCUGAGGUACGAAAGCGUGGGUAGCGAACGGGAUUAGAUACCCCGGUAGUCCACGCCGUAAACGAUGUGCACUAGAUCGAGGGGGUUCUGACACCGCUCUUGGUCGAAGCGAAAGUGUUAAGUGCACCGCCUGGGGAGUACGGUCGCAAGGCUUAAACUCAAAGGAAUUGACGGUGGCUCACACAAGCGGUG